GAGUCACAAAGGACUACUUAAAUACCAAGCCUUUGCCUUAGCCAAAAACUAUCCCUCAAUGUCUUCACACAAAACUUUCUCUUAGUAAACCACUUAGAACACAAUUAAGUUGAGAAAUCAAAUUUUCAAUGAAAGAAAACAAUGCAAGCUACUAAUCAACAAAGCUAGUCGGUUUAACACAAACUUAACAAAAUAACCAUGCAAAGCGUCACUAACUAAGCAAUAGAAAAACAAUUACAAACAAUUAACAAUUGCUAAUUAAGAAUUCUAUACUAGUCGGCCCUAGGUGAGGCUUCUUGGACACUUUGAGCCCUUGAAGACACACUCACCGUCUAAAACGUAAUUAAGAGGUAAUUAACACAAAUUAAGUUGCAAGGAAAUUAAGAAAA
rnacentral:lncRNA from 1 species